GGUUUUAUUUUGUAAUUCCUUAAUGACUAAAGACAUUGAAUAUCUUUUCAUGUGAUUAUUAGCCAUUUAUGUAUCUCCUUUGUGACAUGUAGAUUAUGCACGUCUACUCAAAUCUUUUAUCUAAAAGAGUUGUCAUCUUAUUAUGGAGUUCUAGGGGUAAUUUAUAUAUUUUGAAUACAAGUUCCUAAUUAAUGUCUUUAACUUUGCCUGGAACUCUAAAAUUAAAUGAUCUUUCAUUUGUGAGCUAGAACAAGGGUUCUCAAAUUGUGGCCCAGGGUCUCAGGGACUGUUAUGGGGGUUCAAGAAGUCAAAAGUAUUUUCAUAAUUAUACUUAGACAUUAAUUGCCCUUUUCAUUCUCAUGCUUUUAUGAGUAUACAAUAGAGUUUUCUAGUGGCUACAAGAAGUGUUCACAAUUAUCUGAAAAGGCUCUUAAAAUACUCCUCUCUUUUGCAGCUACAUGUCUGUGUGAGGCCAAUUUUCUUCAUAUACUUCAAAACAACAGAAGAAUCCAGAUGUCUUCUAUUAACCAGAUGUUGGAAAGACUCAACCAACAUUUCUGAAGGCUUUGAGGCCCUUGCCAUCACAUGCUAAGAGGAGUAAAAUGAAGAAGCUAGCAACUGAAACAUGUACCAAGAAUAUCUGGGGUGUCAGCUUGCUCAUCUAUCUCCUGGGACAUUUUUGUCAGAAUACAGUGGCUGAAGCGUUUAAAAGGAAAGCUACAUCCAGAAAAAACUCCUGGAGUUGGGAUUUCAAAAUCUUAUUUCCAUUUUAUUCAAGUUAUUUCCUCUUUCUGCUGCAGCAAGGCAAAACUGAUGAACAAAGAGCAGCUUAUUAUUAGGAAGUAAGCAUUAAGGAAUUAUAACUUCAGCGAGGAUGCCAUGUAAGAACUGGAACUUUAAAUCUUCCCUGGACAAACUAGAAGACAUGAAAAUACUGCAGAUGAACCAUUUAUUAUUCCUCUCUUUCUCCUGUAGGCCUCCUGGCUUAACUAGAAUGCAGUCUCUCUGACUCUCAACCCUAGCUUACUCAAGAAGCUAGAGAAUCCUGUUACCAAAUCUGUAUGGUUCUGGCUGGACUAUAGGAAACAUAUUGAGGUUUGGGAAUUUGACGGCGCUUUCUGCUGAAUGACAGGUGAAAGAGUGGUUUAUAAAAUUGUAUGAGUUUUUAGAAAAGUUUAUCUACCUCCUACCUAUCAGAAAAUAUGAGUUAAUGUUUGCUAAUAUAAUUCAUUAUGAAACAACAUAAAAUCAUGCCUCAAAAGACACAUAUAAAAACAUAAAUUCCCUCAUCUUUAGAACUUUGUUUUCAAGUUUAUACAUAACAAUGUUAUGAAUUCUGUAGGAGUUUAAUUUUUUCUUUCCUGAAACUGACACAAAUAUUCAUUUAGAAAAUAUUUAUUCCCAUCAUCUCCUAAUGAAUUACAGAUAAUUUAUGGAUAUUAAAAUUUGAAUAAUUUUGAAAUAAUUAGAGCUUUUUUGAAAAGAAAAAUCUCAAUAUCUCUUCUGUACUAGUAAUGGAGUUACUAAGUUGCAGAAAAAUGUCACUAUAAAAACACAAGAAAAACAUUUUUUAUUAACAAAAACCACAUUCCUAAGGAAAUGAAAUCAAGGCAAGGUACUUAACAGCAGAUUCAUCUUGGAGAUUAUAAUCCUAAUGUUUUCACACUCUUACUCAAACAUCUGGCACUCGACUGUAUCACUCACUGGGUCAUUUUUCCUCUUUCAACAAGGACUUACUCAUAAAUGUCCUAUCUUUACACAGAAGUUUACUUAACUAAGAGUAGACAUUUUCAGAUAUCUGUAAUGCAUAAUAUAUUAAUAACAUUUAAAUAAAAUAUAAGCCUUUAUGCUUUCCUAAGAUAUGUGUAAUCAGAAAAUAAUAACACAGUACAAUUUCCUUAAGGCACCUAUCACAAAAAAAGUUGCUGAAAGCUUUGUACACAUGAAUGUUAACACCUCAAAAUUUCAGUAAGAUCUUAAUCAAAACCAGACAUUAUGCUCCACUCUGGGCCUUUUGUUUAACUGAGGUAAAAUGUAUCGUACAAUAUAGUAAGUCUGGAUAAAUGUUUCCCUGAGCCAAGAAAGCUACCCUGUGCUC